GCCUAUAGCUCAGCGGUUAGAGCUGACGACUCAUAAUCGUCUGAUCGCAGGUUCGAAUCCUGCUGGGCCC
rnacentral:tRNA from 1 species